rnacentral:rRNA from 1 species
AUGUUAUCGAUAUGUGAAUACAUAGCAUAUCAGAAGGCACACCCGGAGAACUGAAACAUCUUAGUACCCGGAGGAAGAGAAAGAAAAUUCGAUUCCCUUAGUAGCGGCGAGCGAAACGGGAAGAGCCCAAACCAACAAGCUUGCUUGUUGGGGUUGUAGGACACUCUAUACGGAGUUACAAAGGACGACAUUAGACGAAUCAUCUGGAAAGAUGAAUCAAAGAAGGUAAUAAUCCUGUAGUCGAAAAUGUUGUCUCUCUUGAGUGG